UACGUAGGUCCCGAGCGUUGUCCGGAUUUAUUGGGCGUAAAGCGAGCGCAGGCGGUUUAAUAAGUCUGAAGUUAAAGGCAGUGGCUUAACCAUUGUUCGCUUUGGAAACUGUUAGACUUGAGUGCAGAAGGGGAGAGUGGAAUUCCAUGUGUAGCGGUGAAAUGCGUAGAUAUAUGGAGGAGCACCGGUGGCGAAAGCGGCUCUCUGGUCUGUAACUGACGCUGAGGCUCGAAAGCGUGGGGAGCAAACAGG
rnacentral:rRNA from 1 species